rnacentral:tmRNA from 1 species
GGGGGCGAUACGGGUUCGACGGGAACGGUAAAGCCGGGUAAGCAGGCCGGAGAAGGAAACUCCGCAAAAAACCAAAAACCAACAAUUCCCGAACGUGAAAUCGCUCUCGCUGCUUAAUUAACGUAGCGACCUCCACCUAAACUUGCCUGUGGGUUUAGGAUGGGGGACAGAGACACAGGCUAGGAGGAUACCGAGGUCCCCAUAGGUAUCUUCCGAAGGCUUAUGGGGAUAGCCUGUGGAUACCCUGCCUGUGGGGUCGCCACAGGUGAAAGACUAAACACAGGCUAAGCCUGUAGAAAGCCCGAGCUACAGCCGUUCUCGGACGGGGGUUCGAUUCCCCCCGCCUCCACCA